rnacentral:rRNA from 1 species
GACGAACGCUGGCGGCGUGCUUAACACAUGCAAGUCGAACGGUAAGGCCCUUCGGGGUACACGAGUGGCGAACGGGUGAGUAACACGUGGGUGAUCUGCCCUGCACUUCGGGAUAAGCCUGGGAAACUGGGUCUAAUACCGGAUAGGACCACUGCCUGCAUGGGUGGUGGUGGAAAGCUUGUGCGGUGUGGGAUGGGCCCGCGGCCUAUCAGCUUGUUGGUGGGGUGAUGGCCUACCAAGGCGACGACGGGUAGCCGGCCUGAGAGGGUGACCGGCCACACUGGGACUUAGAUACGUACCAGACUGCUACUGGAGGCAGCGGGGGGGAAUAUUGCACAAUGGGCGCAAGCCUGAUGCAGCGACGCCGCGUGAGGGAUGACUGCCUUCGGAUUGUAAACCUCUUUCAGCACCGACGAAGCGCAAGUGACGGUAGGUGCAGAAGAAGGACCGGCCAACUACGUGCCAGCCGCCGCAGUAA